UAAAGGAUGCCAACUAUCAUUCCGCCAGUGGUCUGGAGUCAUUGCGCGGGCGGAUCGACGAAAACGAAAGUUUUUCGGUUCCGGGGGAAGUAUGGUUGCAAAGCUGAAACUUAAGGGAAUUGACGGAAGGGCACCACCAGGAGUGGAGCUUGCGGCUUAAUUUGACUCACCACGGAAAACUCUCACCCGGCCAGUACAUUAUAAGGAUUGCCAGAUUGAAAGUUCUUCCAUGAUUUGAUGAAUGGUGGUCCAUGCCCGUUCUUAGUUGGUGGCGUGAGUCUUCUGUUUAAUUGCGAUAACGACCGAGACUCCGACUGCUAAAUACCUGCGGAAUUGUUUGUUCGCGUGGGUUCUUAGCUGGAUUGGAGACUCCAAGUCUAAGGAAAUGGACCAAUACCAGGUCUGUGAUGCCCUUAGAUGUUCGGGGCGGCACGCGUGCUACAAUGAUGGUAACAGCGUGAUUGUCCUCGCCCGAGAGGGUGUGGCAACCAGUUGAGAUAUUAUUAUGGCUGGAAUUGAGUGUUGAAAUUUUCCUUCAUGAACGAGGAAUUCCAAGUAAAUGCGAGUCAUCAACUUGCAUUGAUUACGUCCCUGCCCUUUGUACACACCGC
rnacentral:rRNA from 1 species